rnacentral:rRNA from 1 species
AAGGAAUAUUGGUCAAUGGACGCAAGUCUGAACCAGCCAUGCCGCGUGAAGGAUGAAGGUCCUCUGGAUUGUAAACUUCUUUUAUCUGGGACGAAAACGGGAUUUUUAUCUCAAUUGACGGUACCAGAGGAAUAAGCACCGGCUAACUCCGUGCCAGCAGCCGCGGUAAUACGGAGGGUGCGAGCGUUAUCCGGAUUUACUGGGUUUAAAGGGUGCGUAGGUGGGCUUAUAAGUCAGUGGUGAAAUCUCCGAGCUUAACUUGGAAACUGCCGUUGAUACUAUAGGUCUUGAAUUAUCUGGAGGUAAGCGGAAUAUGUCAUGUAGCGGUGAAAUGCUUAGAUAUGACAUAGAACACCAAUUGCGAAGGCAGCUUACUACAUAUAAAUUGACGCUGAGGCACGAAGGCGUGGGGAUCAAACA